ACGGAGGGGGCGAGCGUUGUCCGGAAUCACUGGGCGUAAAGCGCACGUAGGCGGGCUGUCAAGUCGGCCGUGAAAGGCAUGGGCUCAACCUGUGCAUGUCGGUCGAUACUGGCGGUCUGGAGUAUGGGUGAGGGAGCUGGAAUUCGCGGUGUAGCGGUGAAAUGCUUAGAUAUCGCGCGGAACACCGGUGGCGAAGGCGGCUUCCUGGCCCAUGACUGACGCUGAGGUGCGAAAGCGUGGGGAGCGAACGG
rnacentral:rRNA from 1 species